ACCGGAAUUAAACCGGUCUAACUUUAUAACAGAUCGGUGUGGAGAAAUGCAGGGAGACAAAAAAAUUCUUCUCCCGGCAAAUUCUCCUUCCCUUUCGACAACACAAAAGGUCCUCUGGUUUACAGCAAAGAACCUUGAAGAGAAAUUUUGAAGAAGACAAGUCAUUCUUCACAAGAAAGAAAGUUGGGAAGAAAAUCUAGGGUUGUAUGAUUUUUUGGGCGAUUUAGAGCUACGGUUACUUUUUGGGCGAUUUAGGGUUGUGCAAUUUUCUGGACAAUUUAGAGCUAGGGUUGUGUGAUUUUCUAGGCGAUCUCUAUUCCUUCGAGCAAGAGAAGAGAAGAGAAGAAAACGACUGUACAACCACCAAAUUUGAGGAGCGGGCAUACUUCCAAGAGGUUGAUUCCUUUGAGCUGUUGAAGGAAAGUCCCUCACCAAAGCACUUGGAUACAUGGGUCAUGGGAAUCCGAAGUAGUGAGGUUGUUUUACCACAUUUGUCUUCAAGAUUAGAGAAAUGGCUAAUCUCCAAGAAGCUUAACUACAGUUGUGGGCCUUCUAGUUCCUUAGCUAAGAUUUUGGAAACUCUAGUAAUGCCUAUGGAAUCAAUUUGCAGUGAUGUUUCCAACUCUACAACUUAGGAACAGGUUUCUCCUGAUACGUCUUCAGAUUUGCCUUCUAUAUCCAACAAUGUGGUUGAAGGGCAUACUUGCUGAUAGACACACAUGGAACGUCUGAGUACGGGUGAUGACAACUGUGAAGAUAUUGGAAAAGGCUUAAAAAAUCUAUCUCUGAUAUUAGAAUCUGAAACCCUGGAUGGUGAUCAUAAGGUCUCAUUUGCAACAUUGUUAACAAUUUGUGGGCAAUCGGCUCCUUCAACAUUAUUGGAUGUCUUCUCCUAGUAUUGGACUGAUGGUUGCACAUAUUAAUGAAUCGAGCUCAGUCACCAAGCUCUAUUCCUCUUUUUCUACCAUUGAACCACCAUCUUGGCAGUAGCCUGAACACUGCCGCUAGUUUCUUUACUUUUGAAAGCAAUGGCACAUGCAAUGGAGAACAAUUUAGUCAAUUUGGAACAAGGAAUUUAAAUGUUGAACAUUUUCAAGAAUUAUGAAAUUGAUGUAUCCAUCCUGGAUGAUUUCGAUUUUUACGAGGAUCAUCAGAAAACAAUCCAAGAAAGGAAGAAACAGCAAGCCAACUUAAUGGUUGUCCCUAUUGUUGGUGGCAAUGAGCACCAGAAUCCAGUCUCACUAUCUAGUGACUUCAUAAAA